GAACCCCGGCGAGGGGAGUGAAAAAGAACCUGAAACCGUGUACGUACAAGCAGUGGGAGCCCCACCACUAAGCCAGUGGUGAACUCCACAUCCGCAUCCUUUGCUGAGGAUACGGUUAACGGAGCGAAAGCGACGUUCAACCGCAAAACAAGCAGAGGGGGCUUAGUGGUGGGGUGACUGCGUACCUUUUGUAUAAUGGGUCAGCGACUUAUAUUCUGUAGCAAGGUUAACCGAA
rnacentral:rRNA from 1 species